AAGCAGAGAUUAACCCUCGUACCUUUUGCAUCAUGAUUUAGCUAGCAAACCCAAGCAUAAAGCAUUUUAGUUUGAACCCCGAAACUAGGUGAGCUACUCCAAGACAGCCUAUGAAUUAGGGCAAACCCGUCUCUGUGGCAAAAGAGUGGGGAGAGCUUUGAGUAGCGGUGACAGACCUACCGAACCUAGUUAUAGCUGGUUGCCUGUGAAUUGAAUUAAAGUUCAGCUUCUUGAAUUCUCCCCUCCCCCCUGCCCACUGCACACCCAGACAAAGAGAAGCCAAGAAAGUUAGUCAUAAGAGGUACAGCUCUUGUGAAACAGACUCAACUUUUUAAAAUGGGUAAAGAUCAUACAAAUUAAAGGCUUGUACCCCAGUGGGCUUAAAAGCAGCCAUCUAUAUAGAAAGCGUUACAGCUCCAAUACUCCGUCCCCUCUUAUCCCGAUAAAGAAAUCCCACCCCUUUUAUAAAUUAACAAGCCCUCCCAUUCACUUGGGAGAGACCAUGCUAAAAUGAGUAACUUGAGACCCUCCCCUCUCUCUCCUGGCAUAUGUGUACAUCGAAACGGACCAUCCACCGAACAUUAACGGCCCCAACCCCAGAGGGCACUGAGUAAUUAUUUACAACACAAGAAAAACGCUCACCAUACACACCGUUAACCCCACACCACAUGCCUGAAAAGAAAGACUAAAAGAAAAAGAAGGAACUCGGCAAACACAAGCCUCGCCUGUUUACCAAAAACAUCGCCUCUUGUCACCCCCAAAUAAGAGGUCCCGCCUGCCCUGUGACAACAUGUUUAACGGCCGCGGUAUCCUAACCGUGCGAAGGUAGCGCAAUCACUUGUCUUUUAAAUAAGGACCUGUAUGAAUGGCACAACGAGGGCUUAACUGUCUCCUUUUUCCAGUCAAUGAAAUUGAUCUUCCCGUGCAGAAGCGGGAAUAACAACAUAAGACGAGAAGACCCUGUGGAGCUUUAGAUAAUGAGCUGACCAAACUAAAGACCCCCAAAACAGAACCAAAAUUUUGACCACAGCUCUACAUCUUCGGUUGGGGCGACCGCGGAGGAACAAAAAUCCCCCACGCAGACUAGGUGAACAAUUAUAUCACCCAAAACCAAGAACUACAAUUCAAAGAAACAGAAUCUCUGACUUUAAAAUGACCCGGCUCAUUAAGCCGAUCAACGAACCAAGUUACCCCAGGGAUAACAGCGCAAUCCUCUUCUAGAGUCCAUAUCGACAAGAGGGCUUACGACCUCGAUGUUGGAUCAGGACAUCCUAAUGGUGCAGCCGC
rnacentral:rRNA from 1 species